CACGUAGGGCGCGAGCGUUGUCCGGAAUUAUUGGGCGUAAAGAGCUCGUAGGCGGCCUGUUGCGUCCGCUGUGAAAGCCCGGGGCUUAACCCCGGGUCUGCAGUGGAUACGGGCAGGCUAGAGUUCGGCAGGGGAGACUGGAAUUCCUGGUGUAGCGGUGAAAUGCGCAGAUAUCAGGAGGAACACCGGUGGCGAAGGCGGGUCUCUGGGCAGUAACUGACGCUGAGGAGCGAAAGCGUGGGGAGCAAACAGG
rnacentral:rRNA from 1 species